rnacentral:rRNA from 1 species
AUACGGAAGGUCCGGGCGUUAUCCGGAUUUAUUGGGUUUAAAGGGAGCGCAGGCGGCCUUUUAAGCGUGACGUGAAAUGUAGGCGCUCAACGUCUGAAUUGCGUCGCAAACUGUUAGGCUUGAGUAGACGGCAUGUCGGCGGAAUUCGUGGUGUAGCGGUGAAAUGCUUAGAUAUCACGAAGAACUCCGAUUGCGAAGGCAGCUGACAGCAGUUUUACUGACGCUCAUGCUCGAAAGUGCGGGUAUCGAACAGGAUUAGAUACCCUGGUAGUCCGCACGGUAAACGAUGGAUGCCCGCUGUUUGCCUUUUUGGUAAGCGGCCAAGCGAAAGCAUUAAGUAUCCCACCUGGGGAGUACGAUCGCAAGAUUGAAACUCAAAGGAAUUGGCGGGG